rnacentral:lncRNA from 1 species
UGAUCUCCAUGGCCCACAAUGGUCUCUAGGUGCUCUGAUUCUGACAUAACAUACGCAGCUGCCUUUGCCUCUGAAUGGAUCUGUGGUCAGUCCUGCCUGUCUUCCUCCUUAAUGACAUUUGGGCAUGAUGGUCAUUAAAAGCAUUAGGAAAUUGUGCCUCAUUAUCGUAAGCUCAGGUCAACAGCUGGAUCUGUAUUUAUCAGCACUUUGAGUCAUCAUGCCACAAGGAAUCUGUUUAUUUCCAGUUAUUUUUUAGCUGGAAUAAAAAUAAAAUAGAAGACAUGCUACUUAGGAUGACUUUGAGGAUGAAGGAGAGAGAGGGAGAAAGGCACUUUCCUUCCUAAGGGACAGAUGGUUACAACUUUCAGUUGCAAUGUCUGCUCGGCCUGGCGUCUGCUGUUUUUUGAAAGAUCUGUGAUCCUCUGGUAUUAUUCCUGGUCUGCGCUGCCUCUAGGCAUUUUGGAGCAGUUGGACAGAAGGUCUCCGUUCAAAUCCUGCCUCUAACACAGAGACUCUGACUCUUUGACCCAGCACAAAUCACUCCGACUCUCCAAGACAGUAAGUUCCAGGACAUUUGCUGAUCUGUAUGGGGAGAGGGCAUGUCUCCACCUGUGAAGUACCCACACUGAUGAAAUCACCCCUUCCAAGGUUGUUGUGAGAUAGUGGUAUAUGGAAAACACUUCACAACUGAGAGCCCUAUUAUAGAAAUGAUUGCUAUUAUUAUCCUACUACAGUCUUACAAAUGUAAUUACUUAAUUGUACUCUUGAGUUUCUCCCUGCUGGCUAGAUUGUAAGUUACUUGAGGUCAGGACCAUGGCUUACCCUUCUUUUGCAUUAUUCCACAGUGCCUAAAGCGGUGCUGAACAUAGAGUUUAGAGCUUGAAUUGGCAAAGGAGACGUGAUAGUGUCCAUGUGCUAACUCCCUCCUCUAAAUUAGCA